rnacentral:lncRNA from 1 species
CAGAGUUAGUCGGUACAUGGCAGCGCUGGGUUGAAAAACCAGUGAUGGAUGCUUGAAGAAACUGGAUCAGUUUCUCGGGGUCUGUGGUGUUGGCCCAGGGUGCUGGCAUCAUCUGCCCAGGCCAGAGAAAGGGCACUUCCAGAGCCACUGGACUAUGGUAGAAGACCAGCACUUGAUAGUCCUUCUCCCACAGUGAACUGCCAUGUUGGAGAGGCCCAUGUGACACAGAGGUUGUAGUGGCCCUUGACCAAAACCAGCUGGGAGCAGAGGUCUUUAGACUAACAGCUCUGAAGGAACUGAAUCCUGUUAACAGCCAAUGAGUAAGCUUGGAAAUAAUCCUGCAUGAGUGAGAUCUUGAUUGCAGCCCUGUGAGAGAGACCGAAGCAGGGAACCCAGAAGGCCUCUGAUUUAGUCCACUGGAAUGAUUAGACUGGAGGAACUAAGUAAAAAUGACUUGGAUCAGAAAAUACUGGAGACAGAGAAACCAGUUAAAGCCUAUUGAUGUGCUGGUGAUUUGAGAUAUAGAGCAUCUCUGUGAAAUAAAACGUACUGAAAAACUUCAGCCCUCAGUGCUUCUCCCCAUGUUACAAGAUACUGGCAUCAGAAAAGACCACAAAAUGAAUACCAGUCUUUACUACUUCCUUGCUUUCCAAAUCCCUACUGGGAAGUAAGAUUUAGCAGUGUGAGAGUAAUUAAGCAGAAUACCUCCUUCCUCCAGAUACCAACACAGAUGCAUAAGAAGACAUAGCUGAAUUUUUGAGCAACAGAUGUUAACUUACAAAGGACAAGAUAAGCUGUACUGUGUUCUUUGCAACAGAAGUCAAAUAUCCCAACAUGAGAAGAGCCUCUGUGCAUAUAGGCAAAGAUAACCAACUGUAGCUAAAGGCUCCCGUGUACUUUCAGUACUCAAAAUAGUCAUGCAUAUGGGGAUUCUGUCAGUCAACACCAUAUCUGCUGUUGAUGUUGGUAACAGUGACCAUCAGAAACUUCAGGAAGUGAAAGAAGAUCUCCCAUAGAAAAGGAAACCAUGGUCAGAACACAGAGAAGAAUCCAAAAAGGACAUGUCUGUUGGCAAACAACUUGGGAGAGAACCAGAAGUGAACCCAGUUGCUUGUGUCAUUAUUUUGCCUUAGCCUCCAAGAGCCUGAACAGCCCAAGGAGGACAAGACAGUCUUGACCUAAGGGAAAGAUAUGCUUUAUUUACAAGAAAACAUUAAAAAAUC